AAUCCAUAGGUUAAUGAGGCGAACCGGGGGAACUGAAACAUCUAAGUACCCCGAGGAAAAGAAAUCAACCGAGAUUCCCCCAGUAGCGGCGAGCGAACGGGGAGGAGCCCAGAGCCUGAAUCAGCAUGUGUGUUAGUGGAAGCGUCUGGAAAGGCGCGCGAUACAGGGUGACAGCCCCGUACACAAAAGCGCAUGUGCUGUGAGCUCGAUGAGUAGGGCGGGACACGUGGUAUCCUGUCUGAAUAUGGGGGGACCAUCCUCCAAGGCUAAAUACUCCUGACUGACCGAUAGUGAACCAGUACCGUGAGGGAAAGGCGAAAAGAACCCCGGCGAGGGGAGUGAAAAAGAACCUGAAACCGUGUACGUACAAGCAGUGGGAGCACCCUUUGGGUGUGACUGCGUACCUUUUGUAUAAUGGGUCAGCGACUUAUAUUCUGUAGCAAGGUUAACCGAAUAGGGGAGCCGGAGGGAAACCGAGUCUUAACCGGGCGUUAAGUUGCAGGGUAUAGACCCGAAACCCGGUGAUCUAGCCAUGGGCAGGUUGAAGGUUGGGUAACACUAACUGGAGGACCGAACCGACUAAUGUUGAAAAAUUAGCGGAUGACCUGUGGCUGGGGGUGAAAGGCCAAUCAAACCGGGAGAUAGCUGGUUCUCCCCGAAAGCUAUUUAGGUAGCGCCUCGUGAAUUCAUCUCCGGGGGUAGAGCACUGUUUCGGCUAGGGGGCCAUCCCGGCUUACCAACCCGAUGCAAACUGCGAAUACCGGAGAAUGUUAUCACGGGAGACACACGGCGGGUGCUAACGUCCGUCGUGAAGAGGGAAACAACCCAGACCGCCAGCUAAGGUCCCAAAGUCAUGGUUAAGUGGGAAACGAUGUGGGAAGGCCCAGACAGCCAGGAUGUUGGCUUAGAAGCAGCCAUCAUUUAAAGAAAGCGUAAUAGCUCACUGGUCGAGUCGGCCUGCGCGGAAGAUGUAACGGGGCUAAACCAUGCACCGAAGCUGCGGCAGCGACACUGUGUGUUGUUGGGUAGGGGAGCGUUCUGUAAGCCUGUGAAGGUGUGUCGUGAGGCAUGCUGGAGGUAUCAGAAGUGCGAAUGCUGACAUAAGUAACGAUAAAGCGGGUGAAAAGCCCGCUCGCCGGAAGACCAAGGGUUCCUGUCCAACGUUAAUCGGGGCAGGGUGAGUCGACCCCUAAGGCGAGGCCGAAAGGCGUAGUCGAUGGGAAACGGGUUAAUAUUCCCGUACUUGGUGUUACUGCGAAGGGGGGACGGAGAAGGCUAUGUUGGCCGGGCGACGGUUGUCCCGGUUUAAGCGUGUAGGUGUGUGUUCCAGGUAAAUCCGGUUCACUUUAACACUGAGGCGUGACGACGAGGCACUACGGUGCUGAAGCAACAAAUGCCCUGCUUCCAGGAAAAGCCUCUAAGCAUCAGGUAACAUCAAAUCGUACCCCAAACCGACACAGGUGGUCAGGUAGAGAAUACCAAGGCGCUUGAGAGAACUCGGGUGAAGGAACUAGGCAAAAUGGUGCCGUAACUUCGGGAGAAGGCACGCUGACACGUAGGUGAAGUGAUUUACUCAUGGAGCUGAAGUCAGUCGAAGAUACCAGCUGGCUGCAACUGUUUAUUAAAAACACAGCACUGUGCAAACACGAAAGUGGACGUAUACGGUGUGACGCCUGCCCGGUGCCGGAAGGUUAAUUGAUGGGGUCAGCGCAAGCGAAGCUCCUGAUCGAAGCCCCGGUAAACGGCGGCCGUAACUAUAACGGUCCUAAGGUAGCGAAAUUCCUUGUCGGGUAAGUUCCGACCUGCACGAAUGGCGUAAUGAUGGCCAGGCUGUCUCCACCCGAGACUCAGUGAAAUUGAACUCGCUGUGAAGAUGCAGUGUACCCGCGGCAAGACGGAAAGACCCCGUGAACCUUUACUAUAGCUUGACACUGAACAUUGAGCCUUGAUGUGUAGGAUAGGUGGGAGGCUUUGAAGUGUGGACGCCAGUCUGCAUGGAGCCGACCUUGAAAUACCACCCUUUAAUGUUUGAUGUUCUAACGUGGACCCGUUACCCGGGUUGCGGACAGUGUCUGGUGGGUAGUUUGACUGGGGCGGUCUCCUCCUAAAGAGUAACGGAGGAGCACGAAGGUUGGCUAAUCCUGGUCGGACAUCAGGAGGUUAGUGCAAUGGCAUAAGCCAGCUUGACUGCGAGCGUGACGGCGCGAGCAGGUGCGAAAGCAGGUCAUAGUGAUCCGGUGGUUCUGAAUGGAAGGGCCAUCGCUCAACGGAUAAAAGGUACUCCGGGGAUAACAGGCUGAUACCGCCCAAGAGUUCAUAUCGACGGCGGUGUUUGGCACCUCGAUGUCGGCUCAUCACAUCCUGGGGCUGAAGUAGGUCCCAAGGGUAUGGCUGUUCGCCAUUUAAAGUGGUACGCGAGCUGGGUUUAGAACGUCGUGAGACAGUUCGGUCCCUAUCUGCCGUGGGCGCUGGAGAACUGAGGGGGGCUGCUCCUAGUACGAGAGGACCGGAGUGGACGCAUCACUGGUGUUCGGGUUGUCAUGCCAAUGGCACUGCCCGGUAGCUAAAUGCGGAAGAGAUAAGUGCUGAAAGCAUCUAAGCACGAAACUUGCCCCGAGAUGAGUUCUCCCUGAGACUUAAAGUCUCCUGAAGGAACGUUGAAGACGACGACGUUGAUAGGCCGGGUGUGUAAG
rnacentral:rRNA from 1 species